rnacentral:rRNA from 1 species
UACGUAGGGGGCAAGCGUUGUCCGGAAUCACUGGGCGUAAAGGGCGCGUAGGCGGCCUGAUAAGUAGGGGGUGAAAUCUUGCGGCUUAACCGCAAGGCUGCCUUCUAAACUGUCAGGCUAGAGCACAGUAGAGGCAGGUGGAAUUCCCGGUGUAGCGGUGGAAUGCGUAGAGAUCGGGAAGAACAUCAGUGGCGAAGGCGGCCUGCUGGGCUGUUGCUGACGCUGAGGCGCGACAGCGUGGGGAGCAAACAGG